rnacentral:rRNA from 1 species
GAAAACUUACCAGGUCAAGACAUGGGCGUGAUUGACAGGCUAAUGACUUUUCUCGAUUCCAUGGAUGGUGGUGCAUGGUCGCACUUAGUUGGUGCAGUGAUUUGUCAGGUUUAUUCCGGUAACGAACGAGACCUCGGCCUUGUAAAUAGCUAUGCUGCUUACAGGGACAUUGGCGGCUACGCCAAGGAAGCUCGAGGCAAUUGCAGAUCUGGAAUGCCCUUAGAUGUCCUGGGUCGCACGCGUGCUACAAUGACGCCACGAACGAGCUUGCGUGAUGAAAGUUACGCAUAAUCAGCAGUCGGCGUCUUAAGGGAUAGUCUCUUGUAACUGUGGGACUCCAACUAGGAAUGUCUCGUAAGCACAAGUCAACAUCUUGUGUUGAUUACGUCCCUGCUCUUUGUACACACCGCCCGUCGCUCCUACCGAUCGAGUGUUUAGGUGAAUUUGAUGGACGUAAGGAAGUCAAAUAAACCUGAGCACUAGAGAAGAGAAGUCUACUC